rnacentral:tRNA from 1 species
CCCCUGGUAGCUCAACCGGAUCGAGCAGCGCCCUUCUAAGGCGACGGGUGCGGGUUCGAGUCCCGCCCAGGGGU